UGGAACCACGGUGGGCUGACUAAUAAACGCAGUUAUACUUUUACCCAUUGGAUAUGUUGCUAAAGAUAUGAUUGAGUUGUCUAGGCAUUUGAUUCCUGAGCAUGGUAGAUGGCCUAUACAUUAUGUGUGUAUCUAGUUUGUUCCUCCCAGCUAUGGUUGAGUUCACUAUACACUGUACACUUGUUAUCUUUUAUGUAUGGUUAUUUAUUAUUGGGACAGUUUUGGUUAGAAAUGACUAGUUUAUCGGUUCUCUGAUUGGGUCGUAAUAAAGAGGACUUGCUCGUAGGUUUUAUCCACUUUUGUUGAUAUUUUAGGUCCUCGUCAGUUUCAGUCACAUGGUUGAGGACUCAGCAGUUUAGAGACUUCAUUCAUCAUCCACUUUCCCGGUUACUGCAGAAUAAGAACUUUUUUAUUUAUCAUUUAGACUUUAUGGAUUUUGGAUUAUAGACUUCGAAUCAUUGUUUUGGCUUUAGGGGUCCCUGUUUUUAUAGGAUUCCCGAGUUGUAUUAAAAAUGAAGUUUUAAAGAUUGUGGAUUAUUAUGGAUGGUUUUUAAUUAUUAAUUAAAAUUCAUUUAUACUUUUAUUUCUUUUAUU